UACGGAGUGGGCUAGCGUUGUCCGAAGUUACUGGGCGUAAAGCGCGCGUAGGCGGGUUGGUAAGUCCGCUGUGAAAGCCCGGAGCUUAACUCCGGAGGGUCGGUGGAUACUGCCAGUCUUGAAGGUGCUAGGGGGAGAUGGAAUUACCGGUGUAGCGGUGAAAUGCGUAGAUAUCGGUAGGAACACCAGUGGCGAAGGCGGUCUCCUGGGGCAUUCUUGACGCUGAGGCGCGAAAGCUGGGGGAGCGAACGGG
rnacentral:rRNA from 1 species